AUUGAACGCUGGCGGCAGGCCUAACACAUGCAAGUCGAGCGGAUGAAGGGAGCUUGCUCCUGGAUUCAGCGGCGGACGGGUGAGUAAUGCCUAGGAAUCUGCCUGGUAGUGGGGGAUAACGUCCGGAAACGGGCGCUAAUACCGCAUACGUCCUGAGGGAGCAAGUGGGGGAUCUUCGGCCCUCACGCUAUCAGAUGAGCCUAGGUCGGAUUAGCUAGUUGGUGGGGUAAAGGCCUACCAAGGCGACGAUCCGUAACUGGUCUGAGAGGAUGAUCAGGCACACUGAAACUGAGACACGGUCCAGACUCCUACGGGAGGCAGCAGUGGGGAAUAUUGGACAAUGGGCGAAAGCCUGAUCCAGCCAUGCCGCGUGUGUGAAGAAGGUCUUCGGAUUGUAAAGCACUUUAAGUUGGGAGGAAGGGCAGUAAGUUAAUACCUUGCUGUUUUGACGUUACCAACAGAAUAAGCACCGGCUAACUUCGUG
rnacentral:rRNA from 1 species